rnacentral:tRNA from 1 species
CGUGGCCUAGUGGUCAAACGUCAGGCUAAUAACAUGAUGGUCGCAGGUUAGAGCCCUGUAG